GCGGGUGUGGCGGAAUGGUAGACGCAGAGGAUUCAAAAUCCUCCGCCGCAAGGCGUGGGAGUUCGAGUCUCCCCACCCGCACCA
rnacentral:tRNA from 6 species